GGGGGUUUCCCCUACUUUUCCCGGGGCGAACAAACCCCGGGCCGAAUUGCCCCGGGUGAGCCCACCUAGCCGUUUGGACGCCCGCGAGCCCGCUAUUCCGCGUCGAUUCCGCGUCCAACCCGGGGAGCCCGUUCUGCCCGUCGUGAGGCGAGGAAGAGAUUCCGCGAGGCGACUCGCGUCGGAUGGCAACUCCGAGGGCGACGACGACCGGACCUCCUCCCCUCCCCUCCUCCGGCAACCGAACCCCCACCCCUCCCCACUCCGGCAACUAGACCCAAGCCCCUCCACACAUCGCCUCGAAGCCUCUCCCCUCCCAGCCGGAGUGCCUCAAAGAUCCAGAGCUGUACUCCGCCACCAUCGUACCCCCAGUCCGCCUUCAAGAUCCUCCUCUCCGGCAGCAACGACGGUGGUCCGAUCCAGAUUCUUGGUACAGCGAGGAGCAAGAAACGAGCGAGGAUCUGUUGUAAUAUGUUCUAAUAAUUUGGGUACAAAUGUCUGGCUUGAACCGUAUAUGGUAUACCCAAGCAGUAGGAUCAAACUUGUAAGCUUGUCAUGAUCCAGAAGAAUAAAGUUUUGUUUGUGCCAUUUAACAAAAUCCCGUGCUGCUGCAGUUAUUUCCAAGCACAAAUCAGUUCAAUACUUAUAUAUCUUAGUGCAUAUGAUCUUGGUCCUCGUGUUUUGACUCAUAUAAAAAAGCAGUUUACUAUGUAGCUCUUGUAGCUCUGUAGCUCUUGUAUUUCUGUAGCUCUUGUAUUUCCCAAGAACAUGUGUUCGUUGAUUCUCUGUUCUCGUUUUGCUUUUCUUACCUUAUUCAUCCCCUCACUGAGUUUUUGCUUCAGAUUAGGAACGCUAGGUUGCUGCUCGAAAGAUAGGACUUGGUGAUUCAUUUUCAGAGAUUGCUGUCUUCUUGUUUGUUCAGAUCUACCCGUCCUCUUGCUCUGUUCUUUGAGCUCAGCAUCACAUAUUGAUUUUCGUUGCAGGUGAUGAAUCCUGAAGUCCACAAGGUCUUGGAGCUGGACAACACAUGGGCAAUUUGCGCUCUUCCACUUCCCUACUCGUAUUGGUUUGUUUGAUACUAAAUGGUGCAUCUGUUAUUUGGCUACUGAGUAGAAAAGUAGCAUUCCUGCUAGUGAGUAGAUUUAAAUCAUUGUGGUCUUGUCUCUAGAUAUCUUACAGCACUAGCUGUCAGUUUGUACUGCAGCUACAUGUUUUACAGUAGUUUUGUCUUUAGAUAAUUUUUUUUGUUCAUGUAAGAUCUGGCAUAUAGAUACAAGCAUGUUGAUUAACAAGAAAAUAUUGUAUGAUGGCAGUAUGGUGGCAGUACAUGAAUGAUAGA